rnacentral:rRNA from 1 species
UAAUACGAAGGGGGCUAGCGUUGCUCGGAAUUACUGGGCGUAAAGGGCGCGUAGGCGGAUAUCUAAGUUGGGGGUGAAAUCCCGGGGCUCAACCUCGGAAUUGCCUUCAAAACUGGAUAUCUUGAGUUCGGGAGAGGUGAGUGGAACUCCGAGUGUAGAGGUGAAAUUCGUAGAUAUUCGGAAGAACACCAGUGGCGAAGGCGACUCACUGGCCCGAUACUGACGCUGAGGCGCGAAAGCGUGGGGAGCAAACAGGAUUAGAUACCCUGGUAGUCCACGCUGUAAACGAUGAGUGCUAGUUGUCGGCAUGCAUGCAUGUCGGUGACGCAGCUAACGCAUUAAGCACUCCGCCUGGGGAGUACGGUCGCAAGAUUA